CGUCUUUGCCCCCUUGUUCUUCGCUAUGGCAGUGAUCUCCUGCAUGAUUCUUCUUUUCGUGGUCUCUUUACACCAUUAGUCGAAGAGAAGAUUCUCAAGAUGAUGGAUUGUGAUAUUAAUAGCUGCAAUUGAUUCCAUCUUCAUGUGUCUACUGGCUUGCGAGAUUACAUUUGAUGCAAUUUUAGUCUCUAAGUGUAAUAGUCCACUAAAAUGUGCUCUCAAUGAUGAAUUUGGUAGUGUUAUGGUGUGUGAGAUUUCAAUGCUGUUGCUGUCUCACAAUCCUACUGCCUGCGUUUUUUGCUCUAGUUUUCUUUUCUUUUGUGUUCUAAAUUGUUCACUUCAUAUGAUGCUAUGCAAAUCAACAGAUGAGAAUGGGUGUGUAGUGAAUGUAUUGAUCAAUCUGAACCUCAUUGCUCAAACCGUAUGAUUUACAUUGUUUUCCUACUUGUGCUUAAAAAAUUGGAACUCUUUAACUUGUGAUAUAUAAGUCACCAGGACAAAAGGGCAGCCAAUUUGCUAAGCCUUGUCUGGGCACUUCCAAUAGCUCACUCUUUUGGAACCAAAGAUGUCAGACCAUUUCAUGCUUUUCGCAUCCUCGAGAACCAGGAAAAUAUUUUCCAGGACUAUGAUCUUCUUGGUAAUUGGCCGUAAAUUUACAAUUAUACUUAACAAAGGAAAACUCUUAGUUCUUUUGAAUCCCUCAUGCACUGGACAUUUAUGAAUAGUACAUUUAUGUAAUUGGUAGCAGGUAGCACUGCUCGGUUAUAUUGAAGACUAUACUUACCAAUUACUAUAAUACUUCUUUAUAAAGAUAAUAUGGUGAUGAAACCUGACAAAUCAUUUGAGUAACCUGAUGAAAUACAGUCAGGAAUUUUGGCAUCGAGCCUUAGCAUAGUAUAGUUUAGGAAAAUAAAGUUUUGAUUCUCUUUCAUAAUUUGAAGAUUUAGUUACAGGAUGUUGUUCUGAGUCUGUAUGUACAAAUUUAAACAAGAUGAGCAAGACCAUCUAAGGAUGGACUAUGAAAGCAAGGUUGAUGCUCAAAGGAGGAAAACCAUGGUAUGGUAGCUGAGAUUGUUUGUAAUCUGUGGCUAGGUGGCCCUUAGCUUUCUCCCAUAUUGAACAUUGAAGACUACGGACUUGUGCCAAAUACCACGAAAUGAUGACUUCAUGCAAGGACUCAGCUACUAGCCCAAGUCCUUAAUUGCCCCAAGAUUAGGACCUAGGGAUGGUUGCUUAUGUUUUUUAAGACCUAUACUGCUCAUGACCUGCUUGUGCUCUUACCUGUCACCACCACUGGCACUUUGCAUAGAGUGACAGGAUCAUGGAGAAACGGAGCACUUCCAAAAGGUGUGCAAACCUCAGUCUAGUACUUGCCUUCAACCUCUUACCUAUGCAUCUUUCGUCAGCCACACUUUAAUUGGCUGCCUUCUGCCACUAAUGGCAUAAUCGCCUUGGUUAUGAAUAGGAGAGACCUGUCGCUGGCCUAGGUACAUAGCCACUAAUACUUGAGCAUGAAAUUGAUAAUGUUGUUAUGGUUAGCUCCCUUGUAUUUUUCACUUGCCCUAACUCCGCCCUGCAACCAGCAUUCCAACCAGCUGAAUCCCGGAAAGGAAGACGAACUGCCACAUGGUUGGCUUCGCAAUUACAUUAUAUUCUAGUACCAUUCAGUAGAGAGAUUGGAGUCUGCCAAGUCUGUUCUAGUUUCAUCUGUUGCUGGCUCGCAUUCUGGUGUCCCUAUUUCUAUAUAUCAAGCUACUACCUUUCUCAACUUAUUCUUCCAUUGGUGAUCAGUUCUAUUGAUUGUGCUUUUUUGGGGGCAAUCUUCCAUUAUACAGUCUUGCAGCAGCAGUGACUGCGAAGCCCUUGGAAUUAGGCACUGAAAGCUCUAUCUCAUCUUCAAUUGAUGGAGCAGUUUGUGCAUCAGAGAAUUUCUUCAUGUUCCUUGCUGCUACUAUUGCUUUUGACCUCUGCUUUAAGAUGAUGGUUUAUAAGUCCUUUUCCUACAAGUGAAUAGACCAAGUAAGCCAAUUGUUAUUGAUAAUAGACCUUUCCAAGUGCUUCAGAUAUUAUCAGUGUAACCUCUUUAAUAUAGAGAUAUAUCAAAGAGGAUUUCCCCCUUGCAUGUGGUUUGUCCCAGAAGAUAUGCCAACAAGCCAGUGGUGGAGCUAAUACAGUGCCCUAAAGCACUGGUUCUUUCUUAUGCUUGCCCACAUGUAAUGAAGACAUUGCAUCAGUUGCAAACUGUUUGGCAACUAGAAAUGUUCCUUCUGCCAUGAUCUCUAACUCCAUGUGUUGUCAAUGACUUUGAUGUGUAUCUCAAGCCACACUGUAAAAUUUGAACCAUUGUAAUUUGUUCUUAAGAUCAGUUGUACUUGCUCUCUCUUUCUCUC